AGAGUUUGAUCCUGGCUCAGGACGAACGCUGGCGGCGUGCCUAACACAUGCAAGUCGAGCGGAGAUAAUAGCAAUAUUAUCUUAGCGGCGGACGGGUGAGUAACGCGUGGGCAACUUGCCUCAAACAGGGGGAUAACACUGGGAAACUAGUGCUAAUACCGCAUAAAAUAGGGGGAUGGCAUCAUUCUACUAUCAAAGGAGAAAUCCGGUUUGAGAUGGGCCCGCGUCCGAUUAGCUAGUUGGUGAGGUAAUGGCUCACCAAGGCGACGAUCGGUAGCCGAACUGAGAGGUUGAUCGGCCACAUUGGGACUGAGACACGGCCCAGACUCCUACGGGAGGCAGCAGUGGGGAAUAUUGCGCAAUGGGGGAAACCCUGACGCAGCAACGCCGCGUGAAGGAAGAAGGCUUUCGGGUUGUAAACUUCUUUGAUUGGGGACGAAAAAAAUGACGGUACCCAAAAAACAAGCCACGGCUAACUACGUGCCAGCAGCCGCGGUAAUACGUAGGUGGCGAGCGUUGUCCGGAUUUACUGGGUGUAAAGGGCGUGUAGGCGGGAUUGUAAGUCAGAUGUGAAAUUCCUAGGCUUAACCUGGGCACUGCAUCUGAAACUAUGAUUCUUGAGUGCUGGAGAGGAAAGCGGAAUUCCUAGUGUAGCGGUGAAAUGCGUAGAUAUUAGGAGGAACACCAGUGGCGAAGGCGACUUUCUGGACAGUAACUGACGCUGAGGCGCGAAAGCGUGGGGGAGCAAACAGGAUUAGAUACCCUGGUAGUCCACGCUGUAAACGAUGGAUACUAGGUGU
rnacentral:rRNA from 1 species